rnacentral:lncRNA from 1 species
AAUACAAGCGCUUUGGGAGGCCGAGGCGGGUGGAUCACCUGAGGUCGGGUGUUUGAGACCAGCCUGACCAACAAGGAGAAACCCCGUCUCUAAAAACACAAAAUUUGCCAGGUGUGGUGGUGCAUACCUGUAAUCUCAACUACUCCGGAGGCUGAGGCAGGAGAAUCGCUUCAAUCCAGGAGGCGGAGGUUGCAGUGAGCCGAGAUCGUGCCACUGCCCUCCAGCCUGGGCAACAAGAGUGAAAAAUCCAUCUAAAAAAAAAUUAAUUCAGAGACAGAAAAAGCAUCUUAAUGGUGAUAUGAACAGGUUGUUCAGCAAACUACAACUUGUGGGCCAAAUGCAACCUGUGGCCUGUUUUUGUACAGUCAGGUAAGCUAACAAUGAUUUUUACCUCUUUACGGUGUUUCCUCACUUCCAUCCCAUGCAACUCAGGUUCCGAGGCCAUAGUAUUAAUCACUCACUGUACAUGCACAACUCCAGUGGGGGGUCCAGAGUGAUCAUUGCAUCCAGGAGCCAAAUCUCAUAUUUCUUUAUAAAUAUUGAAACAAAACUGUGGAGCCAAAUUGUUAAUGAAAGAAAGAUUCAUUAUAUCUUGGAAAAGGAAGCCAAUGAUGUGAAUAAGGAUGAAGAGGUUGAAGAUGGUCACAGGAAUUGUCAGAGGAGGAGAUGGAGAAAGAUGAGGCCAAGAGGGGAAACUGAGUCUACACACUUCAGUGUAGGGUUUCCCUCCAUGAGCCCAAAAUCCAAGGGACAACCCGGAGCCUCCCCUCAAAUAAUCCUGGCAGCGGACUCUCAAUGA